rnacentral:rRNA from 1 species
GUGUCAGCAGCCGCGGUAAUACGGAGGUGGCAAGCGUUGCUCGGAAUCACUGGGCGUAAAGGGCGCGUAGGCGGGGAGGUAAGUCGGGUGUGAAAUCCCUCGGCCCAACCGAGGAACUGCGCCCGAGACUGCUUCUCUUGAGUCCCGGAGAGGAAGAUGGAAUUCCCGGUGUAGCGGUGAAAUGUGUAGAGAUCGGGAGGAACACCGGUGGCGAAGGCGGUCUUCUGGACGGUGACUGACGCUGAGGCGCGAAAGCGUGGGGAGCAAACGGGAUUAGAAACCCCCGUAGUCC